GAAAUUCAGACCCACACAAAAGGUGAGAACAAGGAAGCAACCGCCGCGGCACCACACGCUCUCCUCUCGCGCCACCGCCGCCGCUUCCCGAAUCAUCCACCGUCGCCCAAGUCCGAUCAUGCAAGCGGCAGCAACCUCGUCGGCGCUGGCGCUGUCGCCGGCGCCGCCCAUCUCCCUCUCCCUCUCCCUCUCCGCCGCCGCCCCCACGCGGCCCCGCCGCACCGCCGCGCGCGCCGGCGCCGUCCGGUGCGACCUCGCCGCGCCCUCGGCUCCCGCCUCCUCCCCGGCCGCCGCCCGCUGGGCCCAGAGGACGGUCGUCAUCCCGCCGCAGCGCCGGGGCUGCCAUCUCAUCACCCACAAGAUUAUGCACGAGAUAAGAAGCGACCUCUCCGAGUUCAAGUGCGGGCUGGCGCAUCUCUUCUUGCAUCACACAAGCGCUUCACUGACCAUUAAUGAGAACUAUGACCCGGAUGUCCAGACUGACACCGAAACAUUCCUUAAUCGAAUUGUUCCAGAGGGUACAUCUGCUCCAUGGAGACACACCAUAGAAGGACCUGAUGACAUGCCAGCACAUAUUAAAUCAUCAAUGUUUGGUUGUGCCUUGACGAUUCCUAUCACUAACGGGCGUUUCAACAUGGGAACUUGGCAGGGUAUAUGGCUCUGUGAACAUCGUGAUUAUCCUACACCUCGCACGAUUGUGAUUACGCUCAAUGGGAUGUGAAUGGUCAAUGCUAGGAGCUGCAAAUGCAUUGUGAUGAUUUUGAUGUCCACUAAAUUGAAGCUUUUGCUCCAAUUAUGAUAUGAACUUCCGUGGUGAAUCUUAUUUGUAAUCUUCUAUAUGUAGCCCUGUACAAGGGAGAUAGAUCUUUGCUGUUGUAUUUAAAGGAGAGUACUUUGAUCAAUUACUAGAAACAAGCUCACGCCUGAUGAUUUCCAACAAAACUGAGUACUGGCCAACUGACAAGGAGACGUCACGUUUGACCACCAGCUGGUGUAACAAGAACUUUUGUUCUUUGCUAUCAGGACCCCUGUGGCCGGCCUGUGCAGCUGAACUGUCAGUUAGCUUGUGAUGACAACAGGAAGAUAUGUUUGCUGAGCUGUGGCGAAUAUCUGCAUCAUGGGAGUAUGUCACUCGUUAUUAUUAGCCAGGGUUGCACUCCACUCCACUCUGACUCAGAGAUAAUUGCUUUGGCAGAAGCCUGUCUUGUCCAGCCAUCUUGAUCUGUUCUAGUUGUCGAACCACUGUUGGAUUGGACCUACCUGUGAAGUAGCUGUACAGCCAGCACGGGAAUCUAUUCCUUUGUUUCGACCCGUUCCGGCGUACCAAAAUAUGUUAGGAAUUCUUGGGGAAAAAAAAGAAAAUGUUGUGAGGCUGGACAUGUUGCUUUGAACAUUCCAUUCGGCACACCAGGCACCAAGUAGUGUAGGCGAAGCACAUAUGCAUGCACGUACUAGCAUUAAUUAACAAAUUACUCCCUCCAGUUCUAGAGGAACAUGACGUUUUCAAAACUUUGACUGUCCACCUAUUAAAUAUUUGCGUUGGAUACUUGAAA